GCCUGUGUAGCUCAGUCGGUUGAGCAACUGACUUCAGCUCAGGUCAUGAUCUCGCAGUUUGUGAGUUCAAGCCCCACAUCGGACU
rnacentral:tRNA from 1 species